CGACGACGAGUUUAGAGACACUUGUGGAAACCAGAAUGCAUCUUGGCGUAAGAAUCCUUCACGAAACGCAAGGCGGCGCAUCCUCCCGUUCACGCUCUCUCCGCUCACGUCCUCAUUCCCCUGCUCUUUCCCGUCGUCUCAUGAAACCGCCCCGCCUUCCACCCUCUUUCUGUCCACCGGUAAGAGAGGGGAAAGGCCUUUGAAAAAUCUCAGCCACCAAGCAGCGGUGGGAAGAGGGAGGUGACGGGAAAGCUUCUGUGACACGGCGGAAUUUGGUAGAAAAAUGGCGGUUCACUGGCAGUGGCAGCGCCAGGUCGUGUGUAACCGCCGGCCAAUCGACUCUCGAUUUUUCUGAUAGUCGUGGAAUUCGUCCCACCCAGAUGCCAGCAUUUAGGUGGAAUUUGAUGGCAGGUGUGAAGCAACGGCUUUGUCUACUUUCAUGGCAUUUUCGCCUCCUGAGUAGGUAGUUUUCCCUCCCCUCAAAUGCUAGGCCUAGCGGGGACAGGAACUGGAGUACGCUGAAACCGUACCAAAGUGGUAAAAAAAUUAAAAAAUUACAAACGCAGUGGUAUAUGCAAGACUGACAGUCCUAAUUCCCAACUGUACCUCAUUCAGGCGAACGCUUUCGCAGAUCAAUGCUCUGGCUUACAGAAAAAGAAACGAAAUGUGGAGGGGACCCCCUUCCAGAUUCAGUUGCCAAAUGAGUGCUGCGCCGAAGUCCUGCUCCUG
rnacentral:lncRNA from 1 species